UCAGAGUUUAGUUGUUUUUGAUAUUAUCUUCCUCAUCGUUGGCUUGUCGUCGAUAGUCUUUGCUCGUCUUGGUUUUCAAAAUCUGAUUUUUGGUGAUUUGAUGCUUUUCUCUGGUGGCUCUUCCUUUCGUCAUAUUUGCUACUCAAGAUUUGGAUAGUGCAUUUCUCUGUGUAUGCUAUAUGGACUUGGAAAGUUGUUUCUGGUCUCAAUCUUGAGCUCUAGUUUCUCGGUGAUGGUUGGCUUUCAUUCUCCCUUCCUCAGUUUUUUUUUUUCUCUUUUUCUCUUCAUCUCUUGGUGUAAUUGUCUGGAAUUAGUCUUUUGGAGCCUUGGUCCCUUUUUAUUCAGAGUUUUGUAGUUCUUCGCUGGCAUAAGCACCUUGUAUGUGUUUGUUUAGUUUUUUUUAGGUGCUUUUUACCUUUUAACUAGUGGUUGUACUUCUUGUUUUAUGGUCCGAUGAUUAUUAUUCCUUUAACCCAUUUUAUUGGUUUUUUGAGUUGGUGUUUGAUCGCCUUCCUUUUUGUUUGGGAAAUUGAUUUGUCUCAAAUUUUAUCUUUUUAAUUAUUUCUGACAUCUUUUUGUUCUAGCUAGGGUAUUCUAUGAUAAGGUAAGUUAGUCUUUUUUGUUGAUAUUUUUCCAGCUCAAAACGUUUAUUGAGUUAGUGUAAUUAUGGUAUUUUUUUUUCUGUGAUUGUGGAAGUUUUAGGUUAAGAUUAUUGUACUCUACCUUUUUUAUUUGUUUGGUUAUUUUAUGAUUUUUAUAGUAAAAUAA
rnacentral:lncRNA from 1 species